CGCUGGCGGCGCGCCUAACACAUGCAAGCCGAACGAGAGAUGAGGAGCUUGCUCUUCAAAUCGAGUGGCGAACGGGUGAGUAACGCGUGAGGAACCUGCCUCAAAGAGGGGGACAACAGUUGGAAACGACUGCUAAUACCGCAUAAGCCCACGGCUCGGCAUCGAGCAGAGGGAAAAGGAGCAAUCCGCUUUGAGAUGGCCUCGCGUCCGAUUAGCUAGUUGGUGAGGUAAUGGCCCACCAAGGCGACGAUCGGUAGCCGGACUGAGAGGUUGAACGGCCACAUUGGGACUGAGACACGGCCCAGACUCCUACGGGAGGCAGCAGUGGGGAAUAUUGCACAAUGGGGGAAACCCUGAUGCAGCGACGCCGCGUGGAGGAAGAAGGUCUUCGGAUUGUAAACUCCUGUUGUUGAGGAAGAUAAUGACGGUACUCAACAAGGAAGUGACGGCUAACUACGUGCCAGCAGCCGCGGUAAAACGUAGGUCACAAGCGUUGUCCGGAAUUACUGGGUGUAAAGGGAGCGCAGGCGGGAGAACAAGUUGGAAGUGAAAUCCAUGGGCUCAACCCAUGAACUGCUUUCAAAACUGUUUUUCUUGAGUAGUGCAGAGGUAGGCGGAAUUCCCGGUGUAGCGGUGGAAUGCGUAGAUAUCGGGAGGAACACCAGUGGCGAAGGCGGCCUACUGGGCACCAACUGACGCUGAGGCUCGAAAGUGUGGGUAGCAAACAGGAUUAGAUACCCUGGUAGUCCACACCGUAAACGAUGAUUACUAGGUGUUGGAGGAUUGACCCCUUCAGUGCCGCAGUUAACACAAUAAGUAAUCCACCUGGGGAGUACGACCGCAAGGUUGAAACUCAAAGGAAUUGACG
rnacentral:rRNA from 1 species